AAUGUUUAGUUGGAAUUUGUUUCCUUGCAAUUUCCACCCACUAGUCCUUCCCUCUAGAGCAACAGAGAACAAAUCUGAUUUAGCUCCUGCAUGAUAGUUCUGCAUGAUAGAUAUUUGAAGACUCCUAUCACAUUUCUCUCUAAAUGCCUCUUCUCCAGGCUAAACAUACCCAAGUGU